AGAACGGUAGCCCGGAGAUGGGUACUGAGACAAGGUCCCAGGUCCUACGGGGCGCAGCAGUCGCGAAAACUCCACAAUUCACGAAAGUGUGACGGGGCUACCCCGAGUGCCAUCCGCUGAGGAUGGCUUUUCUCUGGUGUAAUGAGCCGGAGGAAUAAGGGGAGGGCA
rnacentral:rRNA from 1 species